rnacentral:rRNA from 1 species
GCCACCCUGCUGGGUCUCGCGGCAUCGAUGGGCGCUUUGCGGACGUACCGCAACGGCUUUGGGGGAUUGGA